GUUUGUUUUGGGUACAAAAUGUCACAGGUUCAAAUCCUGUCAUCCCUA
rnacentral:tRNA from 1 species